CGGUGGACGGGUGAAAGAAAUCAUGGAUGGAGGACAUCGAGUCGGAAGUAGGAGGUCAUACCACUAUAAACCUCCUGCUGCCGAUGCCGAUGCCGAUAGAUGGCUCAUGAAAGAAUACACUGUCUAUCCAUUGCACGAGGUUCUGGGCUCUAAUUUGGAGUAUAUAGUUUUCAUAUGUUAGAUUUUUUCCUCUUUUUUUGUGUGUCUAAUGAUUUUUGGUUCCUUUGGCAGAUGAACAACUUCGCCGUAGUGAAGUUACACAGGUGAUGAUAGCUCGGAUUUCGCCACUCGGGAGUGAUUGCAGGGAUGGCUUUAUGAUUAUGUUUUCAAGUACAUCUAAUUUUUAGGUUAACUUUUUUUUUUUUUUUUGGGUCAAAAUGUCGGGUUCUCAUUGGAGAAUAUAACACGGUGAAUGUUUUUUUUUUAAUCUAUAAUAUCCUUAAAAAGUUAUUCCAAUUUCCUGUUAUUCUU
rnacentral:lncRNA from 1 species